rnacentral:lncRNA from 1 species
AAAUGUACAACUGCCUUCAUCCUCAUCAACCACAAAUUUGUUUCUUAUGGAAAUGAAUCAGCAUGCUUUCAGGUCUCAGACCCCCCUCACCUAUACAUGGAUGGGAUGGAGGUGGUCGAAAUGGCUUCUUUGUUGCAGAUGAGGAAAGAAAGAGUCUGACAGGCUAUGAAGUUCCCGAGACCCACAGGCUUCUAACAGCUGGCAGAGAAGGAGUCCUGGCUUGUGCGGUUGUGAAGCUCAUAUGCCCCACAUUAUGUCCUCACUUCCUUCUUCACCAUCUCCUGCCUCCCGCCCAGCCCACUGCUUCCCUCCUCAGUGGCAAGUUUCC